AGAAUGAAAUGCAGCAAAGAGGUUGGAGAAAGCGCAACUGUUUUCCCUUUCCCGGAUCUUUCCGGCCGGGAUACAGAUAAAAUGGACAAAGAAUCAUGCAGAAAUUGUCUUCCGACAAAGGUUGCUGCUUUGUCCAAGGAAUUUGCUAAAUUUGGAGAGCAACAUCCAUGGAAUGGCUAUGUAGCAGAUUUAGUUCCUGUUCCGCGUUUCGAAGAGAAUUUUUCGGUCUACUGCGCCGUGCGCCGGGCCCGUUUCCUGCUGGAGCUAUAGAAUGCCAGGGAUCAGAUCAUUAUAUUCGCGCUCAGCUGGGCAUAGGGAGAAGCAGUCGAAACACCUAUUUAAAUCAACAUCCGGACAUCCGAACAUGGAGCUGAUAUCUAACAGGCGACAGGCUCUGGUGCUUCGAGUACUUGUUGCGGCUUCGGUUAGUUGUUGCUGCUGGAAGAGCUGUCCCGCGAAAAUCAAGAAAAAAAAAUUGAAAAAAAGUUGAAUAUAACAAGCUUUAUGAAUAAAAACUGAAUUACAUUUAUUAUGUGUAUUAUUCACAAAUGCAACCAAUCC